GACUGUUGCUCAGUGGUAGAGAGUACUUGCCUUGUAUGUGUACGAUCCUGGGUUCAAUUCCCAGCAUCGUUA
rnacentral:tRNA from 1 species